GACGAACGCUGGCGGCAGGCUUAACACAUGCAAGUCGAACGAGUGGCGGACGGGUGAGUAAUGCUUGGGAAUCUAGCUUAUGGAGGGGGAUAACUACGGGAAACUGUAGCUAAUACCGCGUACCAUAGGAUGAGCCCAAGUGGGAUUAGGUAGUUGGUGAGGUAAAGGCUCACCAAGCCGACGAUCUCUAGCUGGUCUGAGAGGAUGACCAGCCACACUGGGACUGAGACACGGCCCAGACUCCUACGGGAGGCAGCAGUGGGGAAUAUUGCGAAAUGGGGGCAACCUGACGCAGCCAUGCCGCGUGAAUGAAGAAGGCCUUCGGGUUGUAAAGUUCUUUCGGUAGCGAGGCGUUAACUACAGAAGAAGCACCGGCUAACUCCGUGCCAGCAGCCGCGGUAAUAC
rnacentral:rRNA from 1 species